rnacentral:rRNA from 1 species
GACGAACGCUGGCGGCGUGCCUAAUACAUGCAAGUAGAACGCACAGUUUAUACCGUAGCUUGCUACACCAUAGACUGUGAGUUGCGAACGGGUGAGUAACGCGUAGGUAACCUGCCUGGUAGCGGGGGAUAACUAUUGGAAACGAUAGCUAAUACCGCAUAAUAUUAAUUAUUGCAUGAUAAUUGAUUGAAAGAUGCAACUGCAUCACUACCAGAUGGACCUGCGUUGUAUUAGCUAGUAGGUGAGGUAACGGCUCACCUAGGCGACGAUACAUAGCCGACCUGAGAGGGUGAUCGGCCACACUGGGACUGAGACACGGCCCAGACUCCUACGGGAGGCAGCAGUAGGGAAUCUUCGGUAAUGGACGAAAGUCUGACCGAGCAACGCCGCGUGAGUGAAGAAGGUUUUCGGAUCGUAAAGCUCUGUUGUAAGAGAAGAACGGGUGUGAGAGUGGAAAGUUCACACUGUGACGGUAUCUUACCAGAAAGGGACGGCUAACUACGUG